GGUGGGCCGGCGCUGCUCCUAGUCCCGUUCGUCGGUGGCACUGGCUGCUGCGCGUCUAUUCGCCAUUGGGAUUCACCAAUCCCAUCCGCGCCCAUCCUCCCAAACGUGCAAGGGUUCACCAACCCUUCGUCAAGCCUGCGACCCCUCUGCCUCGUCUCCUCCUUGCUCCCUCUCCCACGUCAUUGCCCUCGAGCCCGCGCCCCCUCCACCUCGUCUCCUCUCCAACGCCUCUGCCCUUGAUGUGCCGUCAGGGACGCCGUCGACACGUCGGGGAUACGUAGCGAUGGAGCUCAGCCCGAGCCCAGCAGAAGCCCACUCCUAACCCUAUUCGCUCGAUUGACAAGACCAGAUAACGGAUUGGAUCGAGGGCGCCCGCAUGGCCUCGCCGCCACUCCCGCCUGGAUUCGCUAGCCGCCGCGUGGAGUCACCCUGGCCGCCGCCUCGAGUCACCUCCGUCGCUGCCGCCUCGAGUCACCUCCAUCGCCGCCACGAAUCAGCUCCACCGUUGCCGCCAGGAAUCUCGUCCAGGCAAGGAAUGAAUGUUCUACGGUUGGAGCAGAGGGGGUCGGGUAGCAGUUGAGCUUAGGCAUGAAUUUACAGGUUCAAGAUUUUCUUACACAUGGGGCUUAUUCUCCUAAUGUUUCUAGGUGGCUACUCAUGUCUGGCUUGGUGCCUAUAUUUUAGAUGUUCCAUUAAUAUUGGCUGCUUUUCUCAUCCGUUCUGGGCUUUAACCUUGGAUCUAGAAGGUUGCAGCUUCUUUGUUCUCCUACUCAAGAUUUGCUCAUUGUUCAGUUCAAGCCAUGUUCCUCAGGGAAAAUCAUUUUUUCUUCACUUCCAGGGCCAGCGUCGCUCAACUUUGCUUGGAGCAUGCUUAUUUGUUUCUACAUUGCCUUUGCUUAAUAUUUUCUCUUGAUUUCCUAUGUGAUUGAGAUGCAUGCCUAUCUCGACUGUUCUGUUGUGCUGGCAAUUUCUCGCCAUUGUCCCAUUAUAACUGUUAUUGGUCACGUACCUGGUGCACUUCUAAUUUUGAAUUGUGCUUGUUGAGUGCCCUCAUUUUGUUUACUACCUUCCGUUGGUGUAUAUGCAAGCUGUAUAGGUUUGUUGUUCAAUCUGGUUAUAGCUUUAUUCUCCUAUUUUCUUACUCAUUGCCACAUUGUCUUAGUUAUUACUCCCUCCGUUCCUAAAUAUGGCUUUCUAGAGAUUUCAAUAUGGACUACAUAUGGAUGUAUGUAGACGGUUAAUAAACCUCCUACAUGUUAUUAAAGAUUGGUCUCUUGCUCUUUUUGCUUAUGAAUCGUACACUUCUCUUUUCUUAGUACUUACACCUAGCUUUGGCCUCAUCCUUUGAUGGUUUGUGUAGUGAAAGUGGUGAUGAUGUUGCUUAAAGGCGCCUCAACUUGCAGCAAAUAUAUGGGCAUGUGCAACUGCAACUUAUGUAGGACAAUUUGUUCUCUAUUGUUUUUAUUUAGAAGUUUCUCCAUGAUGGUACUUUCAACCUGGAAACUUGAAAAAGAAUCAAGGCCGGUGACCCAGCUUUUGUUCUAUGGGAAGCCCUUCGUCAAAUGAAGCUCCAACCUGAGCAAGGGCAUAGUAGCAGGUGGUGUAUCUGUUUAAUGUGUGUUAGAAGAGGCGAGCGCUUGGUUGAUGUUGUAUGCACAUUCUUUUUCAAAACAGUAUAUCAUGAAGCUUUGACAAUUUGUUUGCUGUCAUCUCUUUUUCAAACAGUAUAUCAUCUUCUAGUUGUUUAAUCUGUAUUGUAGAGUCGAUGACUAUCCAAACUAUUCUUUGUAAACCAACAAGAUUGUGAAUCGCUAACCACAUCUUCUAAGACAAUCUUGAAAUACUUUGUUGGUUCUAUA